CACUCCUACGGGAGGCAGCAGUGGGGAAUAUUGGACAAUGGGCGCAAGCCUGAUCCAGCCAUGCCGCGUGAGUGAUGAAGGCCCUAGGGUUGUAAAGCUCUUUCACCGGUGAAGAUAAUGACGGUAACCGGAGAAGAAGCCCCGGCUAACUUCGUGCCAGCAGCCGCGGUAAUACGAAGGGGGCUAGCGUUGUUCGGAUUUACUGGGCGUAAAGCGCACGUAGGCGGACUAUUAAGUCAGGGGUGAAAUCCCGGGGCUCAACCCCGGAACUGCCUUUGAUACUGGUAGUCUUGAGUUCGAGAGAGGUGAGUGGAAUUCCGAGUGUAGAGGUGAAAUUCGUAGAUAUUCGGAGGAACACCAGUGGCGAAGGCGGCUCACUGGCUCGAUACUGACGCUGAGGUGCGAAAGCGUGGGGAGCAAACAGGAUUAGAAACCCCGGUAGUCCC
rnacentral:rRNA from 1 species